AGCGGCGGACGGGUGAGUAACACGUGGGCAACCUGCCUCAUAGAGGGGAAUAGCCUUCCGAAAGGGAGAUUAAUACCGCAUAAGAUUGUAGCUUCGAAUGAAGUAGCAAUUAAAGGAGCAAUCCGCUAUGAGAUGGGCCCGCGGCNAUUUAGCUAGUUGGUGAGGUAACGGCUCACCAAGGCGACGAUGCGUAGCCAACCUGAGAGGGUGAUCGGCCACAUUGGGACUGAGACACGGCCCAGACUCCUACGGGAGGCAGCAGUGGGGGAAUAUUGCACAAUGGGGGAAACCCUGAUGCAGCACCGCCGCGUGAGUGAUGACGGCCUUCGGUUGUAAAGCUCUGUCUUCAGGGACGAUANUGACGGUACCUGAGGAGGAAGCCACGGCUAACUACGUGCCAGCAGCCGCGUAAUACGUAGUUGGCGAGCGUUGUCCGGAUUACUGGCGUAAGGGAGCGUAGCGGACUUUAAGUGAGAUGUGAAUACUCGGCUCACUUGAGUGCUGAUUCAACUGNAGUCUAGAGUGCAGGAGAGAGAUGGAAUUCCUAGUGUAGCGGUGAAUGCGUAGAGAUAGGAAGACACCAGUGCGAGGCGAUUCUCUGACUGUACUGACGCUGAGCUCGAAGCGUGGGGGNAACAGGAUAGAACCUGUA
rnacentral:rRNA from 1 species